CAAGCCUACGGGACGCAGCAGUAGGGAAUCUUCCACAAUGGGCGCAAGCCUGAUGGAGCAACACCGCGUGAGUGAAGAAGGGCUUCGGCUCGUAAAGCUCUGUUGUUGGAGAAGAACGUGCGUGAGAGUAACUGUUCACGCAGUGACGGUAUCCAACCAGAAAGCCACGGCUAACUACGUGCCAGCAGCCGCGGGAAUACGUAGCUGGCAAGGGUUAUCCGGAUUUAUUGGGCGUAAAGAGAACGCAGGCG
rnacentral:rRNA from 1 species